GGGGAUGUAGCUCAGUGGCAGAGUGCUUGCCUAGCAAGUGUGAGGCCCUGGGUUUGAUCCCCAGCACUGCAA
rnacentral:tRNA from 1 species